rnacentral:piRNA from 1 species
UCUCAUCACCACGAGGUAUUGUGUC